GACAGAGGGUGCAAACGUUUGUUCGGAAUUACUGGGCGUAAAGCGCAUGUAGGCGGCUCGGAAAGUCGGAUGUGAAAGCCCAGGGCUCAACCCUGGAAGUGCACUCGAAACUCCCGAGCUGGAGUCCCGGAGAGGAAGGCGGAAUUCUCGGUGUAGAGGUGAAAUUCGUAGAUAUCGAGAGGAACACCUGUGGCGAAGGCGGCCUUCUGGACCGGCAUUGACGCUGAAUAGCGAAAGCCAGGGGAGCAAACGGG
rnacentral:rRNA from 1 species